rnacentral:rRNA from 1 species
GACGGGGGGGGCAAGUGUUCUUCGGAAUGACUGGGCGUAAAGGGCACGUAGGCGGUGAAUCGGGUUGAAAGUGAAAGUCGCCAAAAAGUGGCGGAAUGCUCUCGAAACCAAUUCACUUGAGUGAGACAGAGGAGAGUGGAAUUUCGUGUGUAGGGGUGAAAUCCGUAAAUAUACGAAGGAACGCCAAAAGCGAAGGCAGCUCUCUGGGUCCCUACCGACGCUGAGGAGCGAAAGCCAGGGGAGCAAACGGG